UGCGAGCGUUGUCCGGAAUCACUGGGCGUAAAGGGCGCGUAGGCGGUCUCUUAAGCGUGUGGUGAAAGCCCGGGGCUCAACUCCGGGUCGGCCGUGCGAACUGGGGGACUGGAGCUUGUCAGAGGCAGGCGGAAUUCCGGGUGUAGCGGUGGAAUGCGUAGAGAUCGAGAGGAACACCAGUGGCGAAGGCGAGUCCCUGGACAACGACUGACACUGAGGCACGAAAGCUAGGGGAGCAAACAGG
rnacentral:rRNA from 1 species